rnacentral:rRNA from 1 species
CCUACGGGAGGCAGCAGUGAGGAAUAUUGGUCAAUGGUCGGGAGACUGAACCAGCCAAGCCGCGUGAGGGAGGAAGGUACAGAGUAUCGUAAACCUCUUUUGUCAGGGAACAAAUGCGGGGACGUGUCCCCGGAUGAGUGUACCUGACGAAAAAGCAUCGGCAAACUCCGUGCCAGCAGCCGCGGUAAUACGGAGGAUGCGAGCGUUAUCCGGAUUUAUUGGGUUAAAAGGGUGCGUAGGCGGACAGUCAAGUCAGCGGUAAAAAUGCGGUGCUAAACGCCGUACAGCCGUUGAAACUGGGAGUCUUGAGUGGGCGAGAGGGAUGCGGAAUGCGUGGUGUAGCGGUGAAAUGCAUAGAGAUCACGAAGAACACCGAUUGCGAAGGCAGCAUACCGGCGACCUACUGACGCUGAGGCACGAAAGCGUGGGUAUCGAACAGGAUUAGAUACCCGAGUAGUC